UUUCUCUGGGAAAUUCAAACAAACAAAAAAUAAUAAUAAAAUAAAAGGGAAGAAACAAAAAAUAAAACAGCAAACUUCAGAAAUUCCCUCCAGAAGGGAUUUUUUUUUUAAAGGUAACAAUUAUAAAACUAUCAAAAAUGUCUCUCUUCAAGGCUUUCAGGAGGAAGAAUUGCUGGAGAAGUACAGACUCCGAUACCCACGAGUCACUUCUCCUAUUCCUACUGUGGGACCCCAUCCUGCCCUUGAACCCUGGCAGCCUGUGGCCAUGAGUUUUUUUUGCUCACAUUCCAAGUCUGGGAAAACUGAAGCUUUUUCAGCCCACAGUUUUAAUGACUGCUCAGCUUAUCAGAGAGAAUGGAGAGGGUGACCUGGCAGGAAAGCAGCUGGUGCCCUGCUGGAUCCCCUGCAAGGAACUGGAAAAACAUCUUCCCCCAUGGAAAGGUCUGGUUUGUCUUGAUCUUAGAGUCCACCCCCAGAAGCGGUUCUCCACCUUACAGACAAGGCUCCAGCACCGCCCACCUCUACAGCCUUCACCUGACUGCAAAACCUUCACCCCUGCAAAACCAUGGGUAUUGGGUUCCUGGGCCUCACACACCAACACCAAGGUUAAAUCCAUUAAUACUGGGAGGUCUAAUCAGAAUGCAUGAUGUGCUACACAAAUGGCCAGGCUUGAAUAAUUUGUCAACAUAUUUGUCAUUUCUCAUCUUUUUAAACAUGCUGCACGUUCAGGCAUUUGAAUUCUAGCCUGGUGGUCUAAGAAGUGGUCAUAUAUAAGAGAUGAAAUUUUGAAGAAAAGAGGUAGGUCAAGAAGGUUGAAUUCAUUUUAAAGAAUAAUAUAGUUUCCACAACAAUAUAUCUCCUGUAAUUUACUGUCUCGAUUCCCAUAAUGCUCCCAUAUCCCUUUUUCUUUCUGCAGUUCCAGUUCACUGAAGAAUUCAAACACAUGCUUUGAUUGACAGUGCAAAUGGUAAUAUUUUUUGCCUUCAUUGUAAACCUAUUAUUUAAUUUAUCUGUUAGAGUUUUAUUCUUUUUUUAACAGAGUACUAGUGACUAUAAAGUUUAAUUGACCUUUUCGCCAAUAAAUACAUCAUUGCUGGUUUCA
rnacentral:lncRNA from 1 species